rnacentral:rRNA from 1 species
CCUACGGGUGGCAGCAGUGGGGAAUAUUGCACAAUGGGGGAAACCCUGAUGCAGCGACGCCGCGUGAGUGAAGAAGUCCUUCGUUAUGUAAAGCUCUAUCAGCAGGGAAGAAAAUGACGGUACCUGAGUAACAAGCCCCGGCUAACUACGUUCCAGCCGCCGCGGUAAUACGUGGGGGGCAAGCGUUAUCCGGAUGUACUGGGUGUAAGGGGAGCGUAGACGGCAGUGCAAGUCUGGAGUGAAGGGCGGGGGCUAAACCCCCGGACUGCACUGGAAACUGUAAGGCUGGAGUGCAGGAGAGGAAAGUGGAAUUCCUAGUGUAGCGGUGGAAUGCGUAGAUAUUAGGAGGAACACCAGUGGCGAAGGCAGCUCACUGGACUGUAACUGACGUUGAGGCUCGAAAGCGUGGGGAGCAAACAGGAUUAGAUACCCUAGUAGUC